CAGCAGUGGGGAAUAUUGCACAAUGGGGGAAACCCUGAUGCAGCGACGCCGCGUGGAGGAAGAAGGUCUUCGGAUUGUAAACUCCUGUUGUUGAGGAAGAUAAUGACGGUACUCAACAAGGAAGUGACGGCUAACUACGUGCCAGCAGCCGCGGUAAAACGUAGGUCACAAGCGUUGUCCGGAAUUACUGGGUGUAAAGGGAGCGCAGGCGGGAAGACAAGUUGGAAGUGAAAUCCAUGGGCUCAACCCAUGAACUGCUUUCAAAACUGUUUUUCUUGAGUAGUGCAGAGGUAGGCGGAAUUCCCGGUGUAGCGGUGGAAUGCGUAGAUAUCGGGAGGAACACCAGUGGCGAAGGCGGCCUACUGGGCACCAACUGACGCUGAGGCUCGAAAGUGUGGGUAGCAAACAGGAUUAGAUACCCUGGUAGUCCACACCGUAAACGAUGAUUACUAGGUGUUGGAGGAUUGACCCCUUCAGUGCCGCAGUUAACACAAUAAGUAAUCCACCUGGGGAGUACGACCGCAAGGUUGAAACUCAAAGGAAUUGACGGGGGCCCGCACAAGCGGUGGAGCAUGUGGUUUAAUUCGAAGCAACGCGAAGAACCUUACCAAGUCUUGACAUCCCUCUGACCGGCUCUUAACCGAGUCUUUCCUUCGGGACAGAGGAGACAGGUGGUGCAUGGUUGUCGUCAGCUCGUGUCGUGAGAUGUUGGGUUAAGUCCCGCAACGAGCGCAACCCUUAUGGUCAGUUACUACGCAAGAGGACUCUGGCCAGACUGCCGUUGACAAAACGGAGGAAGGUGGGGAUGACGUCAAAUCAUCAUGCCCUUUAUGACUUGGGCUACACACGUACUACAAUGGCGUUAAACAAAGAGAAGCAAGACCGCGAGGUGGAGCAAAACUCAGAAACAACGUCCCAGUUCGGACUGCAGGCUGCAACUCGCCUGCACGAAGUCGGAAUUGCUAGUAAUCGUGGAUCAGCAUGCCACGGUGAAUACGUUCCCGGGCCUUGUACACACCGCCCGUCACACCAUGAGAGCCGGGGGGACCCGAAGUCGGUAGUCUAACCGCAAGGAGGACGCCGCCGAAGGUAAAACUGGUGAUUGGGGUGAAGUCGUAACAAGGUAGCCGUAUCGGAAGGUGCGGCUG
rnacentral:rRNA from 1 species